AUUAUGGAAGUAAAAUUCAUAAGGCAGAGUAACAGAUAAGGCCUGAGGAGCACAGCAGAAUGAAUAAUUUGCUUGUGGGGCAAAGCAGUUGAGUUCAGAGGAUUCCGACUACAUUGCCCAGAGUGAGCAGCCUGAAAGCUUAGCAGAGGAGCUAGGUCCUGAGUUGCUGUGUGAAGAGCUGCCAUGUGAAGUUCUGGAUAGGGCAGUGAAGGAAGCUGUCUGUUGGAAGGGUGACCAUGGUGAGUUGGGAUGCAGAGGCAGGAGAAUUCCCCAGAGGUCAAGGGCCAGCUAUUCUGACAUUCGCAGGAGCAAGCAACAAGAAUCUCUCAAAACAAUAUGGAAGCCCUAAGAGUCACAGUUGGCUCACAGUGGACUCUGGCAUCCUGAGACGCUAUCUAGAGGAAAGAGGAAACUAUCUCGACCACACCAUUUCCAAAGGGCCAAAGUAGAAGAAAUGAGAAGACUUCAAGGAAGCUAGAGUUUACCAUUCAAGAGAAGCUGUUUCAGUGAUUAGAUGCCUCGCAGUACACAGAGGUAAUGUAACUACCACCCCUCACCAAAGAAGCAUCUCUUUACAGCAAAUGAAGACUAUCAGAGAAAACCACAACUGCACACAAUGCAGAGGUCAACAGAUUGUGGUGAGCCCAGCCCCUGCAGAUGCAUCUACAUCACAACUCUUGUAGCCGUCAGGGGAGAGACAGUGAAAAAGAUGAUUAAAGUCAGAAUACCAUGAGUCUGCUGUGAAACACUCUCUCCUAGAAAUGGCUUCAUGAACAAGAUUGGAACAACGACACUAUCAAUGGGUAUGUUAAUAAGGAAGGGGGAAACCUCAGGGGGUCCUACUCCUAGACAUAGAGCUACAGGCAACUAGUCUAAAUAUUUUAAAGGAAAAUUACAUAGGAUUUCAUUUUCACUAUUCACAAGUUUGUUUCUAUUAUACCCAAUGUGUGUCUUGGAUUUAUUUUAUUCUAAAACUUCUUCAUUUAACUAUAGGCAUCGUUCCUCAAUUCAGCCAGGAGUGUCAAUGAUAAAAACCAUGAACUACUUUGAUAAAUAAUCCAUUCUUCAUCUUUCUUUCAAGUAUCAUUAAAGUAUAUAAUAUCUA